CAUGGUUCAGACAUAAAAGGUGGCUUCGGCUACCACUUACAGAUGGACCCGCGGCGCAUUAGCUAGUUGGUGAGGUAACGGCUCACCAAGGCGACGAUGCGUAGCCGACCUGAGAGGGUGAUCGGCCACACUGGGACUGAGACACGGCCCAGACUCCUACGGGAGGCAGCAGUAGGGAAUCUUCCGCAAUGGACGAAAGUCUGACGGAGCAACGCCGCGUGAGUGAUGAAGGUUUUCGGAUCGUAAAGCUCUGUUGUUAGGGAAGAACAAGUGCCGUUCAAAUAGGGCGGCACCUUGACGGUACCUAACCAGAAAGCCACGGCUAACUACGUGCCAGCAGCCGCGGUAAUACGUAGGUGGCAAGCGUUGUCCGGAAUUAUUGGGCGUAAAGGGCUCGCAGGCGGUUUCUUAAGUCUGAUGUGAAAGCCCCCGGCUCAACCGGGGAGGGUCAUUGGAAACUGGGGAACUUGAGUGCAGAAGAGGAGAGUGGAAUUCCACGUGUAGCGGUGAAAUGCGUAGAGAUGUGGAGGAACACCAGUGGCGAAGGCGACUCUCUGGUCUGUAACUGACGCUGAGGAG
rnacentral:rRNA from 1 species